rnacentral:misc_RNA from 1 species
CUGAAAUGUAAGUCGGUACAUUUUGCGAAGCAGGAAUAUUUUCUACCAAAGACACAUGAGGUGGAGGCUGUUUUACCAACGGUGUAACUGAAAUGUAAGUUGGCACAUUGCACGAAGAAGCAGGAGCAUUUUCUACCAAAGACGAGUCAACAUGCAGAGGCUGUACCAACGGAGUAUCUGAAAUGUAAGUUGGUAAACUGUGCGGAUAAGCAGGAGCAUUUUCUACCAAAGACGAGUCAACAUGCAGAGGCUGUACCAACGGAGUAUCUGAAAUGUAAGUUGGUAAACUGUGCGGAU